UCAAAAACAUGUCCUUUUGUUAAUAAUUUAAGGUCUGACCUGCCCAAUGAGUAUUUAAAUGGCCGCAGUAUUUUGACUGUGCAAAGGUAGCAUAAUCAUUAGUUUUUUAAUUGUAAGCUGGAAUGAAUGGUUUGAUGAGAAAAUAACUGUCUCAAUUUAAUUGUUUUAGAAUUUUAAUUUUAAGUGAAAAAGCUUAAAUUUUUAAGGAAGACGAGAAGACCCUAUAGAGUUUAAUAUUUCUAUAUUAUGAUUGUUUUUAGAUUUGUUUAAAAUUUUAAUAUGGAAUUAUUUUAUUGGGGUGAUAUUAAAAUUUAAAAAACUUUUAAUUUAUUGUAACAUUUUUUUAUGAUUAUUUGAUCCUAUUUUUUAGAUUAUAAGAUAAAAUUACCUUAGGGAUAACAGCGUAAUUUUUUUUAAGAGUUCUUAUCGAAAAAAAAGUUUGCGACCUCGAUGU
rnacentral:rRNA from 1 species